CUCCUGAUUCCUUACCCCUCUGACCUGAAUAAUAGUCUGAGUGGCUUAAAAAAAAGGAAAAGUAAAACUGAAGAGAUUUGGAGUCUUAAGUUUAUUUCAAACACAC
rnacentral:snoRNA from 1 species